rnacentral:rRNA from 1 species
CCUACGGGUGGCAGCAGUAGGGAAUCUUCCACAAUGGGCGAAAGCCUGAUGGAGCAAUGCCGCGUGUGUGAAGAAGGUCUUCGGAUCGUAAAACACUGUUGGUGGAGAGGAAAGUGCGUAAGAGUAACUGUUUACGUUUCGACGGUAUCUAACCAGAAAGCCACGGCUAACUACGUGCCAGCAGCCGCGGUAAUACGUAGGGGGCAAGCGUUAUCCGGAUUUAUUGGGCGUAAAGGGAACGCAGGCGGGCUGUUAAGUCUGAUGUGAAAGCCUUCGGCUUAACCGGAGUAGUGCAUUGGAAACUGGGAGACUUGAGUGCAGAAGAGGAGAGUGGAACUCCAUGUGUAGCGGUGAAAUGCGUAGAUAUAUGGAAGAACACCAGUGGCGAAAGCGGCUCUCUGGUCUGUAACUGACGCUGAGGUUCGAAAGCGUGGGUAGCAAACAGGAUUAGAUACCCUAGUAGUC